rnacentral:rRNA from 1 species
CUUUACUAUACCCUGGCAUUGGGCUCUGAUACGAUAUGUGUAGGAUAGGUGGGAGGCUAUGAAGCGGGAUCGCAAGAUUUCGUGGAGCCAACCUUGAAAUACCACCCUUAUUGUGUUGGGGUCCUAACAGAUUGCAAAAAUGUGUAAUCUGGACAUUGUCAGGCGGGUAGUUUGACUGGGGCGGUCGCCUCCUAAAGAGUAACGGAGGCGCGCAAAGGUACCCUCAGCAUGGUUGGCAAUCAUGCGUAGAGUGUAAAAGCAAAAGGGUGCUUGACUGCGAGAGGGACAUCUCGAGCAGGUGCGAAAGCAGGCUUUAGUGAUCCGGUGGUUCUGAGUGGAAGGGCCAUCGCUCAACGGAUAAAAGGUA